GGGAAUAUAGUCCAGUGGUAGGAUUCUCCUUUCGGGUAGGAGAGGUCCCGGGUUCGAUCCCCGGUAUUCCCC
rnacentral:tRNA from 1 species